rnacentral:rRNA from 1 species
GACGAGGGACCCUAGCGUUGUUCGGAAUCAUUGGGCGUAAAGCGGGUGUAGGUGGCUUUGUAAGUCAGGUGUGAAAUCCCUGGGCUCAACCCAGGAAGUGCAUUUGAUACUGCGAAGCUUGAGUGCCGGAGAGGUUACUGGAAUACCUGGUGUAGUGGUGAAAUACGUAGAUAUCAGGUGGAACACCGGAGGCGAAGGCGGGUAACUGGCCGGACACUGACACUCAGACCCGAAAGCGUGGGGAUCAAAC